ACGAACGCUGGCGGCGUGCCUCAUCCAUGCAAGUCGCGCGAGCGGAACUAACAGAUUUACUUCGGUAAUGACGUUAGGAAAGCGAGCGGCGGAUGGGUGAGUAACACGUGGGGAACCUGCCCCAUAGUCUGGGAUACCACUUGGAAACAGGUGCUAAUACCGGAUAAGAAAGCAGAUCGCAUGAUCAGCUUUUAAAAGGCGGCGUAAGCUGUCGCUAUGGGAUGGCCCCGCGGUGCAUUAGCUAGUUUGUAAGGUAAAGGCUUACCAAGGCGAUGAUGCAUAGCCGAGUUGAGAGACUGAUCGGCCACAUUGGGACUGAGACACGGCCCAAACUCCUACGGGAGGCAGCAGUAGGGAAUCUUCCACAAUGGACGCAAGUCUGAUGGAGCAACGCCGCGUGAGUGAAGAAGGUUUUCGGAUCGUAAAGCUCUGUUGUUGGUGAAGAAGGAUAGAGGUAGUAACUGGCCUUUAUUUGACGGUAAUCAACCAGAAAGUCACGGCUAACUACGUG
rnacentral:rRNA from 1 species